GGUCGUAUAGCUCAGCUGGGAGAGCGCUUGAAUGGCAUUCAAGCGGUCAGCGGUUCGAUCCCGCUUAUCUCCA
rnacentral:tRNA from 1 species